UGCAUCUGAAGUUUAUGAGGAUGAGAACCUCCGGGGGUAGAGGUUCGACUCGAGCGGAGCGAGAGAACGUUGCGUCAGCAACGGCCCGAAGGGCGAGCCACGUAGUGGCGAGUUAUCCUCUAUCACCG
rnacentral:sRNA from 1 species